rnacentral:rRNA from 1 species
GAUGAACGCCGGCGGCGUGCCUAAUACAUGCAAGUCGAGCGAACAGAUGAGGAGCUUGCUCCUCUGACGUUAGCGGCGGACGGGUGAGUAACACGUGGAUAACCUACCUAUAAGACUGGGAUAACUUCGGGAAACCGGAGCUAAUACCGGAUAAUAUAUUGAACCGCAUGGUUCAAUAGUGAAAGACGGUUUUGCUGUCACUUAUAGAUGGAUCCGCGCCGCAUUAGCUAGUUGGUAAGGUAACGGCUUACCAAGGCAACGAUGCGUAGCCGACCUGAGAGGGUGAUCGGCCACACUGGAACUGAGACACGGUCCAGACUCCUACGGGAGGCAGCAGUAGGGAAUCUUCCGCAAUGGGCGAAAGCUUGACGGAGCAACGCCGCGUGAGUGAUGAAGGUCUUCGGAUCGUAAAACUCUGUUAUUAGGGAAGAACAAAUGUGUAAGUAACUAUGCACGUCUUGACGGUACCUAAUCAGAAAGCCACGGCUAACUACGUG